rnacentral:sRNA from 1 species
UCAUAUAUACAGACUCCGAGAAAUGGCAAAAGAUGAGAAAGAAAUGUUUAUCAUGGGGUCAGUUAAACAGAUAGGAUGCAAGAAAAUAACAUCAAAACGCAAAGAACAAGUAGGCAUGCCACAACCUGAAGCCCCAAAGGGAAGCGACGGAAUCCCUCCUAUAUUCCUUCCAUCAACAGACACGAAGAAAGGUAUUCAUGAGCGGUACAUCGCUUCUUGUCAAGGACAAGACGGAACAUUAACAAAUGAACCAAAUGCUGUCAUUAGCAUGCUGGACCAUGCCCUAACGGAGAAUGGAUUUGGGGAACGAAAAUGUUUUCUGCAUGCUGACAAUUGUUCUGACAGUGGGUUCGCCCACAUUCGGAAACUUUUCCGAAGGUCAGAUGUUGAUUCUGUUGGCCAGUUUCACACAAAUCAGCCGCUACAAAUGAAGCUGUCUGCUUUCCAAGUGCUGCUUGGAAGUGGGGAAACUGGAAAAGUUUUUUGUCCAGUCAAUUCCGUGCAGUCAAAGGAAUCAGACGGUUUCAUCACUUCAGGGUUACGGCUGAUGAUCCCUUGA